rnacentral:lncRNA from 1 species
CCAAACCAUAGUUAUGAAUGCCAAUAAGAAACUACAUGACAGUGGUAUCCUGAUGGCUUUGUGGAACCCUUCACUUAUCCUUAAAUGACUCCAAAACCAUCAGCUGAAAAACUGGGAAUCAGUAACACAUUCUACAUUAUAAAGCUAUUCUAUUUGCUACUUUGAAAGAAAAGUUUCUUCUAUAAUAUUUGGCUUCCUACCCUCAACAUUCACACACAAUUGCCCAUGUGGAAACACAAGGUUGUCAUUUUCAGUUUUGAUAGCUAUUUGCUACUUCAAAUUGACUCACACUCAGCUGUGUGAGAUGGGUUCCACUGUUGGAAAUCUGAUUCCUUGAUAAAUACAUGCUUUUCUCUCUAUGGUCCACUGACAAAAGAAACUCAAGAAAAAGUUGAAGACAAAGAUUAAAACUAAUAAUCAAAUGUAGUCUUUCACCUACUGAAUUCAUAACUGUUCCUUUUUUUAUUUUAGAUGAUAAUGAUUCAAUGAUUAUAUGUUAAUACAGCUCCUCAAAUAUAAAACUGACUCUCAUUAAUUGUGGUUACUUGAAUGUAAGCAUGUAUAAAAUUCAGUACUGAGAACAGGAUAAGGGAAUGUUCAUUCACCUUGGGUAUUUAACCAGGCAGUGUCUUUGACUUCAUUUGGCAGCAUUACUCUGGAGCCUGGGAAGAAAUUCCUGUCCCUGCAGAGAAUCUUUUUAAACUUUGUGCUUGUGCUUGCCUGCACUAGCAUGCAUACAAACACCCAAACAGUUACAUAGGCACCAUGCUUUAUACUUGAGUAUAUUUUUAGCAUUAAUAGGUUUCCUAGAGUUGGGACAUUU